rnacentral:misc_RNA from 1 species
GAGUUCACGCCCUUCGGGGUAGAUCUCCCACCCUUUGUAUACCAUGCCUCUGUUGCUUUGGCGGGCCGCCUAGCUACUGGCUUCGGCUGGUAAGUGCCCGCCAGAGGACCCAAAACCCUGAAUAUUAGUGUCGUCUGAGUAAAAUUUUAAUAUUUAAAACUUUCAACAACGGAUCUAUUGGCUCU